rfam:Podospora anserina genomic DNA, chromosome 4.
GGGAGCUUGGCUCAGUUGGAAGAGCGCAGGUCUCAUACACUGUAUGAUCUGGUUUAACAUCAGAGUAAUCCUGAGGUCGUGAGUUCGAGCCUCACAGUUCCCA